rnacentral:rRNA from 1 species
UACGGAGGGUGCAAGCGUUAUCCGGAUUUACUGGGUUUAAAGGGUGUGUAGGCGGGCUGUUAAGUCAGUGGUGAAAUCUCCGGGCUCAACCCGGAAACUGCCAUUGAUACUAAUAGUCUUGAAUAUUGUUGAGGUAGGCGGAAUAAGUCAUGUAGCGGUGAAAUGCAUAGAUAUGACUUAGAACACCGAUUGCGAAGGCAGCUUACUAAGCAAUGAUUGACGCUGAGGCACGAAAGCGUGGGGAGCAAAC